AGUAAAUUACCAUCCAAUGUUAUUGCACAUACGUUUUUCCGAUGCUGGCUAACGUGGAAUUGGAAUGCAAAAAACAAAUUGAAACAGUACAGUUGAAAUACGGUAACUAUAGACAUAAAUUUUUCGGAGUACAGGAAGUCAGAUGAAAAUAAAAUACGUAUAUUAUACAAUAAAUACGUAGAUAAACGCCGUGUGAGACGAGAGGCUCUAUGAUUUUAUUUUCCUAAGCUAGUUAUACUUUCCACAACGUACCCUACACAGCCACGAGUUUAUUGACUCACGUGUGUCUCGUUAAUAACCGUUUGUUAAUUGGAGGAAUUUGUUUGCGUAUUAUGGCAAAGUAGAGGUACGUAUACACGGACCGUAUGUAGUGUAACGACGUUCGAGAAUUGAGAAUGGCUUCUCAAAACUCCGAUGGAAAUAGCCGGCGAGAAGAAAUAAAGGUUCAUUGUCGUAUGUGCGAAUGUGUAAUGAAAAUUCUCACACGCAAUUAAUUACGAUAUUUGCAGGGCAGGCGCUGGUGCAGGGGAUUCAAUCGCGCGAAGAGAGAUUAAAAUCUCGGCACAGACGCCCCGAGAUUUCGAGAGCUUGCAGGCGAGGGUUCGCGCUAUGGAAAUUAUUGAAAUAUACAAUCGAUUUGUUCAUAAAAGCUGCGCACGUGCGGUGAAAAAAUUAACGCACGAGAAAUUAUGAAAAGUACUUAUUGAAUUUUAAUGCAAUUCAUUAGUUUAUUGUACAGCGAUGGUUCCGGGAGUCGGUCUACACGUGGUACCGAACAAUGUUAUUUAUUUAAUUUUAUUUUCCAUUUUCUCGAACUCAUUCUUAAACGGAAUUUUCGCGUAAACGAAAAUUACUAAUCGGAUACAGGUCGGACGUUAAAACUGGAAUGAAUGUUGACGUGGUAAUUUAAAAAAUGAAACCACCAUAUCCCUGUUACGGUUACGGAUGGACGCUUCGCGAGACUGUAAUUGUCAAUGAGGUCAGUUUCCGGUCUGUUUAAAAGGCGCAUCGCAAAAUAAAUGUCACAUAUAGUCGGCGCGGCGUACGCGCCAUUAUCCGUUCACAAAAAAUUCCGUUACAUCUCACCAAAAAAAACAAACUAAAAUUUUCUCCCCGCAUAUGUCUAUUUAUUUUCCUUUUUCUCUCGUCUUUCGGCCAUCGAGCGAAGUGUCUGCCGCGGUAAAGAGGUAAUCACAUAUUUAAUUACCUCACCAAAUUGCGUCACAACACCCGUCAGUACUCACAUCGUUAUAAGGUAUAGUCCGUAACCCGCGUAACGGACAGCCACACGGGUCGGAGGUAGUUAAUCAUAAUUUUCAAUAAACUUGAAAUAAUUAUUUCUCCGCUUCGGUGUGUCGGAGUUCUAUACACAGUAUAUAACAACCUGUUCGAAAACGGCGGUCAUGCAAAUAUCUCAUCAUGUUGAUAUAUAGUAAUACAUGUUCGGAUGCAGAGUUGACGAUCCCAUAAUAUGAUUUAUCGCAAUUUUCGGCCAGCUAAAAUGUGGUGUAUAUAAUUAUCGCAGUUUUUUUUUCGAGUUAUUCUGCUAUAAAAAUCUCGUUGAAACGAUGAAAAGUCGCUGCCGAAUAUCUCGCCGUCUACGAAGUGUAAGAAGACCGGUAGAAAAACGCUCGGUCAUCUAGGGGUGCGCGACAAGAUGGCGGCCGUAGCCGCGACGUCGCGCGUCCUUUAUUCGUUUCGCAUUCAUCGCUAGAAUAUUCAAUGAGAUUUUUGUUCGUAUGCGGCAGGGUGUUUGGUAUAGAUCGUUGUAAUGAUUGAAAAUGACAAUAAAUUUGUAA